rnacentral:rRNA from 1 species
CGGUAUCCUGACCGUGCUAAGGUAGCAUAAUCAUUUGCCGUUUAAUUGAUGGCUGGAAUGAAUGAAUAUACGAGAGCUCAACUGUCUCAUUUUUACAAAUAUAAAUUGACCCUCAAGUGAAGAGACUUGAAUUCUUAAAAAAGACGAAAAGACCCUAUAGAGCUUUACCUGAAAUUUAUAUCUUAUACAAUAAAGGUUUAGUUGGGGCAACUAGAGAGCACCUAAAACCUCUCUUUAAGUUUACUAAUAAUGAUCCGUUUUUACGAUAAGUAGAAAAAGCUACCUUAGGGAUAACAGGCUAAUCCUCUUUAAGAGACCAUAUUGACAAGAGGGAUUGGCACCUCGAUGUUGGCU